ACUCAUAUCUUGCAGGGGAAAUACCAUGUCAUAAAAGUGGUUUUCCCAGGGUAAGGCUCAUCCAUUGCACUUUGGGUGUGCUGAUGAUUCCUGUGGUUUCCCCAAAUGUGGGGAAUUCAACUGCAUAAUUUAUGUUAAUGGGGGGUUGCAUUUGUGAUUUCCCUGG
rnacentral:snRNA from 1 species